UAACGGGUGGAGCCUGCGGUUUAAUUGGACUCAACGCCGGAAAACUCACCGGGGCGACAGCAAUAUGUAGGUCAAGCUAAAGACUUUACCAGAAUCGCUGAGAGGAGGUGCAUGGCCGUCGUCAGUUCGUACUGUGAAGCAUCCUGUUAAGUCAGGCAACGAGCGAGACCCGUGCCCACUGUUGCCAGCAUGUCCUUCGGGAUGAUGGGUACUCUGUGGGACCGCCGAUGCUAAAUCGGAGGAAGGUGCGGGCUACGGUAGGUCAGUAUGCCCCGAAUCUCCCGGGCUACACGCGGGCUACAAUGACUGGGACAAUGGGCUCCUACCCCGAAAGGGGAUGGUAAUCUCAUAAACCCAGCCUUAGUUCGGAUCGAGGGCUGUAACCCGCCCUCGUGAAGCUGGAAUCCGUAGUAAUCGCGUUUCAACAUAGCGCGGUGAAUACGUCCCUGCUCCUU
rnacentral:rRNA from 1 species